UUGCUUCAGCAGCACAUAUCCUGAAAUUAGAAAGAUACAGAGAAGAUUAAAUGCAUGGCACCUGGGUAAGGAUGACACACACAUCCAUGAAGCCUUUCAUAGUUUU